AAAGUGAAUUGUCUCUGACUGAGACACCAGAACUGCGAGGAGAACAGACAUGAGGCAAGAAGCAAUGUCCAGCAGAUGUUCUGUGCAUCCUUCAUGGUCUCCUCAGGACAGCUUCUUCAGAGGAGUGACACCAGUGCUACUUCCAGUUCUAUCCCUCUUUUCAUGCCUUUGUCCCAACCUUAUGUUGGAUUUGCAUGCCAUGCCUGUUUUAACUUGCAUGCAGCAUGGGACAGCAAGGAUGUUUUAUCUGCGGUGACAAAUUGCUGUGUGAGGUUACAGUGCUACAAGAAGAAAACAACCCCCCUAAUGGUACUGCAAUCUGACAGACAUAAUAUGCCAGGGAGAAGAGGUUAAAGAAAACAAAGGGGUGGUCAGAUCAUCCUGACCAGAAGAGCCACCUAGCAAACCUCCUCCAGGCUGAGGCUGAGCUUCCCACCUGCCAGUUCUACCCAUGGCUCCAUUUCAGCUGCUUCAAGUGAGGCCUUCAAUGUCAAAUGUCUAACCUCACCCAGCUGCCAUAUCUGUUUCGAUUUUGCUUCUGGGCUGGGCUUCCUCAAAUUUCAGAUGAC
rnacentral:lncRNA from 1 species